rnacentral:rRNA from 1 species
UACAGAGGGUGCAAGCGUUAAUCGGAAUUACUGGGCGUAAAGCGUGCGUAGACGGUUAUUUAAGUCAGGUGUGAAAGCCCCGGGCUCAACCUGGGAAUUGCAUUUGAGACUGAAUAGCUAGGGUGCGGAAGAGGGAAGCGGAAUUUCCGGUGUAGCGGUGAAAUGCGUAAAUAUCGGAAGGAACACCAGUGGCGAAAGCGGCUUCCUGGUCCAGCACCGACGUUCAGGCACGAAAGCGUGGGGAGCAAACAGG